GACGAACGCUGGCGGCGUGCUUAACACAUGCAAGUCGAACGGAAAGGCCCUGCUUUUGUGGGGUGCUCGAGUGGCGAACGGGUGAGUAACACGUGAGUAACCUGCCCUUGACUUUGGGAUAACUUCAGGAAACUGGGGCUAAUACCGGAUAGGAGCUCCUGCUGCAUGGUGGGGGUUGGAAAGUUUCGGCGGUUGGGGAUGGGCUCGCGGCUUAUCAGCUUGUUGGUGGGGUAGUGGCUUACCAAGGCUUUGACGGGUAGCCGGCCUGAGAGGGUGACCGGCCACAUUGGGACUGAGAUACGGCCCAGACUCCUACGGGAGGCAGCAGUGGGGAAUAUUGCACAAUGGGCGGAAGCCUGAUGCAGCAACGCCGCGUGCGGGAUGACGGCCUUCGGGUUGUAAACCGCUUUCGCCUGUGACGAAGCGUGAGUGACGGCAAUGGGUAAAGAAGCACCGGCUAACUACGUG
rnacentral:rRNA from 1 species